CUCCUACGGGAGGCAGCAGUGGGGAAUAUUGGACAAUGGGCGCAAGCCUGAUCCAGCAAUACCGCGUGUGUGAAGAAGGCCUGCGGGUUGUAAAGCACUUUCAGUGGGGAGGAAUGCCUGGUAAAUAAUACUUGCUAGGAUUGACGUUACCCACAGAAGAAGCACCGGCUAACUCUGUGCCAGCAGCCGCGGUAAUACAGAGGGUGCGAGCGUUAAUCGGAAUUACUGGGCGUAAAGGGUGCGUAGGUGGUUUUGUAAGUCAGAUGUGAAAUCCCCGGGCUUAACCUGGGAACUGCAUUUGAAACUAUAAGGCUAGAGUAUGGUAGAGGGAAGUGGAAUUUCCGGUGUAGCGGUGAAAUGCGUAGAUAUCGGAAGGAACAUCAGUGGCGAAGGCGACUUCCUGGACCAAAACUGACACUGAGGCACGAAAGCGUGGGGAGCAAACAGGAUUAGAUACCCUGGUAGUCCACGCCGUAAACGAUGAGAACUAGAUGUUAGGGGGCUUGUCCUCUUAGUAUUGCAGCUAACGCGUUAAGUUCUCCGCCUGGGGAGUACGGCCGCAAGGUUAAAACUCAAAGGAAUUGACGG
rnacentral:rRNA from 1 species